rnacentral:rRNA from 1 species
CCUACGGGUGGCUGCAGUCGAGAAUCAUUCACAAUGGGGGAAACCCUGAUGGUGCGACGCCGCGUGGGGGAAUGAAGGUCUUCGGAUUGUAAACUCUUGUCAUGUGGGAGCAAAUUAAAAAGAUAGUAUCACAAGAGGAAGAGACGGCUAACUCUGUGCCAGCAGUCGCGGUAAUACAGAGGUCUCAAGCGUUGUUCGGAAUCACUGGGCGUAAAGCGUGCGUAGGCUGUUUUGUAAGUCGUGUGUGAAAGGCGCGGGCUCAACCCGCGGACGGCACAUGAUACUGCGGGACUAGAGUAAAGGAGAGGGAACCGGAAUUCUCGGUGUAGCAGUGAAAUGCGUAGAUAUCGAGAGGAACACUCGUGGCGAAGGCGGGUUCCUGGACAUUAACUGACGCUGAGGCACGAAGGCCAGGGGAGCGAAAGGGAUUAGAUACCCUGGUAGUC